UACGUAGGGGGCGAGCGUUGUCCGGAGUUACUGGGCGUAAAGGGCAUGCAGGCGGUCGGACGCGUUUCGGGUGACAGCGGGUGGCUUAACUACCCGAGUGGUCGAAAGACGGUUUGACUUGAGGACGCGAGAGGGACACGGAAUUCCGGGUGGAGUGGUGAAAUGCGCAGAUAUCAGGAGGAACACCGGUGGCGAAGGCGGAUCUCUGGGCCUUACCUGACGCUCAGGUGCGAAAGCUAGGGGAGCGAACAGG
rnacentral:rRNA from 1 species